rnacentral:rRNA from 1 species
CCUACGGGGGGCAGCAGUGGGGAAUAUUGGACAAUGGGGGGAACCCUGAUCCAGCCAUGCCGCGUGUGUGAAGAAGGCCCUCGGGUUGUAAAGCACUUUCAGUGAGGAAGAACGCCUGGUGGUUAAUACCCAUCAGGAAAGACAUCACUCACAGAAGAAGCACCGGCUAACUCCGUGCCAGCAGCCGCGGUAAUACGGAGGGUGCGAGCGUUAAUCGGAAUUACUGGGCGUAAAGCGCGCGUAGGUGGCUUGAUAAGCCGGUUGUGAAAGCCCCGGGCUCAACCUGGGAACGGCAUCCGGAACUGUCAAGCUAGAGUGCAGGAGAGGAAGGUAGAUUUCCCGGUGUAGCGGUGAAAUGCGUAGAGAUCGGGAGGAAUACCAGUGGCGAAGGCGGCCUUCUGGACUGACACUGACACUGAGGUGCGAAAGCGUGGGUAGCAAACAGGAUUAGAUACCCUUGUAGUC